UACGGGGGGGGCAAGCGUUGUUCGGAAUUACUGGGCGUAAAGGGCUCGUAGGCGGCCAACUAAGUCAGACGUGAAAUCCCCAGGCUCAACCUGGGAACUGCGUCUGAUACUGGAUGGCUUGAAUCCGGGAGAGGGAUGCAGAAUUCCAGGUGUAGCGGUGAAAUGCGUAGAUAUCUGGAGGAAUACCGGUGGCGAAGGCGGCAUCCUGGACCGGCAUUGACGCUGAAAGCCGAAAGCUAGGGGAGCAAACGGG
rnacentral:rRNA from 1 species